AAUGAACGCUGGCGGCGCGCCUAAUACAUGCAAGUCGAGCGAGAAGACGUAGCAAUACGUUUGUAAAGCGGCGAACGGGUGAGGAAUACAUGGGUAACCUACCCUCGAGUGGGGAAUAACUAGCCGAAAGGUUAGCUAAUACCGCGUACGCUCCUUGGACUUCGGUUCAGGGAGGAAAGCGAUACCGUGGGUAUCGCGCUCUUGGUUGGGCUCAUGUCCUAUCAGCUUGUUGGGAGGUAACGGCUCACCAAGGCUUCGACGGGUAGCUGGUCUGAGAGGACGAUCAGCCACACUGGCACUGCGGCACGGGCCAGACUCCUACGGGAGGCAGCAGUAAGGAAUAUUGCGCAAUGGGGCGAAAAGCCUGACGCAGCGACGCCGCGUGGGGGAUGAAAGUCUUCGGAUUGUAAACCCCUUUCGGGAGGGAAGAUGGAACGAGCAAUCGUUCGGACGGUACCUCCAGAAGCAGCCACGGCUAACUUCGUGCCAGCAGCCGCGGU
rnacentral:rRNA from 1 species